rnacentral:rRNA from 1 species
AGAACGAACGCUGGCGGCAUGCCUAAUACAUGCAAGUCGAACGAGAUCUUCGGAUCUAGUGGCGCACGGGUGCGUAACGCGUGGGAAUCUACCCUUGGGUUCGGAAUAACAGUUGGAAACGACUGCUAAUACCGGAUGAUGACGAAAGUCCAAAGAUUUAUCGCCCAGGGAUGAGCCCGCGUAGGAUUAGCUAGUUGGUGAGGUAAAGGCUCACCAAGGCGACGAUCCGUAACUGGUCUGAGAGGAUGAUCAGCCACACUGGAACUGAGACACGGUCCAGACUCCUACGGGAGGCAGCAGUGGGGAAUAUUGGACAAUGGGCGCAAGCCUGAUCCAGCCAUACCGCGUGGGUGAAGAAGGCCUUCGGUGUAAAGCCCUUUGUUGGGAAAGAAAGCAAUCGGUUAAUACCCGGUUGUUCUGACGUACCCAAAGAAUAAGCACCGGCUAACUUCGUGCCAGUAGCCGCGGU